GGCGCGAGUCCGAGGGCGACAGCAGCGCGCAGGCGCACGUCAGUCCCCGCGCUUUUCGGAGGCUGCCAGCGUCCCACACCAGCCGCAGGAUAGCAGCAUCAAGGAGCAUUGUGUACAUGCAGAAGUGCACAGUACCUGGAGUGAAACUGCUUGUGUUCGAUUUCUGAUACCAUUCAUAACUGGCUGUGUGAUCUCAAAACCUCUAAAAUGCAGACCUCCAGCUCUAGAUCUGUGCACCUGAGUGAAUGGCAGAAGAAUUACUUCGCAAUUACAUCUGGCAUAUGUACCGGACCGAAGGCAGAUGCAUACCGUGCACAGAUAUUACGCAUUCAGUAUGCAUGGGCAAACUCUGAGAUUUCCCAGGAUCUCAACAAACAGAUAGUGACAAGUGGCAGUCUGGAUUGUCAAUAAAUAAUGUUUUCAAAAUGAGUAGUGUACAGAAGAUGAUGCAAGCUGGCAAAAAAUUCAAAGACUCUCUGUUGGAACCUGCUCUUGCAUCAGUGGUAAUCCAUAAGGAGGCCACUGUCUUUGAUCUUCCUAAAUUUAGUGUUUGUGGUAGUUCUCAAGAGAGUGACUCAUUACCUAACUCAGCU
rnacentral:lncRNA from 10 species